UGUGAAAAACUAUUAACCCAGGCAACCACAAGACGAUAAAAGGAUACUAAAUUCAUAAGUUUGUGUACAAUUGACUACAUGGUGUUAAAAUACCAAGUCAGCCAAAGGCAUUAAGAAAAAAAAAAAGUGACAGAAAGAAGAAAAAAGUUCUAAACUCUUGAAAUUAUCUUCUUCUUAUUGUUUAUUUUUUGUCCUCGUCCUCUCCUCUGGUCCUGGUCCUGUCACUGUCACUGGAACUUUUGUAAUGUUUAUGUUUAGGUUCGCGCCUGUUAGUUACUGUAAUCCUGAUUUGAAUCGAAAAUUAACACCUUAGUUUAAACACACUUUCACUGAGGUGAAUACAUCAUGGAGAAUGAGGACAUGAAAAAUGAAGAUUCCAAGAUAGAGUAUGUGGCAAGUGGACUUUUAACUCACAGUUUUAGUGAGAAAAUUGGUGCGAAAACAUUGUUAUUUAGUGUUUUGAAACUCAAAGACAGUGUUUUUGUUUGGAUCGGGUUGGCAACUGAGCUGAAGUUAAUGAACAUGUGCUUAGCUAUGAAGUCACCUUACGAUACUCUCCCUCUUACAACUCACUUCCUCGGAUCAGUGAAUGACGACAAAUCAUCAGCGCUGGCAUCAAAGUUGAGCAUUCGUCUAAAGAAACCAGUGUUUGUAAGUGUUAAUGUAGAACUAGAUCGUUUUCAAUUUCCUGAACUUAGUGCGAGAUUGAAUGAAGAAAUAAAACAGAGACCAGAGUGCUUUUAAAUCAAGGGGUGCACAAUUAAUUUGUAAACAUUAUUACAUAGGCCUAUAUUUAAUUUUAUUAAAUAAAAUGCUGUCAGUUUUUUAAACAAA